rnacentral:rRNA from 1 species
UACAGAGGGUGCGAGCGUUAAUCGGAAUUACUGGGCGUAAAGCGCGCGUAGGCGGCUUUGCAAGUCGGGUGUGAAAUCCCCAAGCUUAACCUGGGAACUGCAUUCGAGACUGCAUUGCUAGAGUAUGGGAGAGGGAAGUGGAAUUUCCGGUGUAGCGGUGAAAUGCGUAGAUAUCGGAAGGAACAUCAGUGGCGAAAGCGACUUCCUGGACCAAUACUGACGCUCAUGUGCGAAAGCGUGGGGAGCAAACAGG